GGGCGGGAGUGUGACGGAUACAAGACCUGUGAAGGGAAGAAGUCCGCCCGAUCCUGGUUUUUGGGUUUCUAGCUCCCGCCCACCCCGCU
rnacentral:ncRNA from 1 species